rnacentral:rRNA from 1 species
AUUGAACGCUGGCGGCAGGCUUAACACAUGCAAGUCGAACGGUAACAGGAUGACGCUUGCUUCUUUGCUGACGAGUGGCGGACGGGUGAGUAAUGUCUGGGAAACCGCCUGAUGGAGGGGGAUAACUACUGGAAACGGUAGCUAAUACCGCAUAACGUCGCAAGACCAAAGAGGGGGACCUUCGGGCCUCUUUCCAUCGGAUGUGCCCGGAUGGGAUUGGCUAGUAGGUGGGGUAACGGCUCACCUAGGCGACGAUCCGUAGCUGGUCUGAGAGAAUGGGCAGCCACACUGGAGCUGGGACACGGUCCAGACUCCUACGGGAGGCAGCAGUGGGGAAUAUUGCACAGUGGGCGCAAGCCUGAUGCAGCCAUGCCGCGUGUAUGAAGAAGGCCUUCGGGUUGUAAAGUACUUUCAGCGGGGAGGAAGGGAGUAAAGUUGAUACCUUUGCUCAUUGACGUUACUCGCAGAAGAAGCACCGGCUAACUCCGUG